UACGGGGGGGGCAAGCGUUGUUCGGAAUUAUUGGGCGUAAAGAGCUCGUAGGCGGCCUGUCGCGUCGGAUGUGAAAGCCCGGGGCUCAACCCCGGGUCUGCAUUCGAUACGGGCAGGCUGGAGUGUGGUAGGGGAGAUCGGAAUUCCUGGUGUAGCGGUGAAAUGCGCAGAUAUCAGGAGGAACACCGGUGGCGAAGGCGGAUCUCUGGGCCAUUACUGACGCUGAGGAGCGAAAGCGUGGGGAGCGAACAGG
rnacentral:rRNA from 1 species